UACAGAGGGUGCGAGCGUUAAUCGGAAUUACUGGGCGUAAAGCGCACGUAGGUGGCGACGUAAGUCGGGUGUGAAAGCCCCGGGCUCAACCUGGGAAUUGCAUUCGAGACUGCAUUGCUGGAGUACGGAAGAGGAAGGCGGAAUUCCCGGUGUAGCGGUGAAAUGCGUAGAUAUCGGGAGGAACAUCAGUGGCGAAGGCGGCCUUCUGGUCCAGUACUGACGCUCAUGUGCGAAAGCGUGGGGAGCAAACAGG
rnacentral:rRNA from 1 species